UGAGCAAUCUGCCCUUCUCUUUGGAAAUAAGCGUCGGAAACGACGUCUAAUGCCGAAUACGACCUCCUUUCGCAUGAUCGGAGGUGGAAAGCUCCGGCGGAGAAGGAUGAGCUCGCGGCCUAUCAGCUAGUUGGUGUGGGUAAUGGCCCACAAGGCGACGACGGGUAGCCGGCCUGAGAGGGUGACCGGCCACACUGGGACUGAGACACGGCCCAGACUCCGUACGGGAGCAG
rnacentral:rRNA from 1 species